rnacentral:rRNA from 1 species
CGCGAAGAACCUUACCUGGUCUUGACAUCCACAGAACUUUCCAGAGAUGGAUUGGUGCCUUCGGGAACUGUGAGACAGGUGCUGCAUGGCUGUCGUCAGCUCGUGUUGUGAAAUGUUGGGUUAAGUCCCGCAACGAGCGCAACCCUUAUCCUUUGUUGCCAGCGGUUCGGCCGGGAACUCAAAGGAGACUGCCAGUGAUAAACUGGAGGAAGGUGGGGAUGACGUCAAGUCAUCAUGGCCCUUACGACCAGGGCUACACACGUGCUACAAUUGCAUAUACAAAGAGAAGC